UCACUGUCAGAAACAUCAAAAUGGUAGUGUCAUUCCCGGCUCGUAUGAUCCUCGUGUGCGCCAUGCCCCCUGAUUAUCCAUGUGUGCUUCCCCGAUCUAGCCCAACUGUGUCUGAUUAUUUUUGCCCAGUCUUGUUUAUUUCAGUCCAUGUCUUGCCCUGGUUUCUUGUCCGUCAUUGGUGUUAGUGAGUCUUAGUGCUGUUCCAUCAUGCCCUGCCUGCACCUUAAUAAAUCCCCAGUUUUUCCCCGACUUGCGGUUCCUUGCCUGCUUCCUGCUCGCUUGCAUGCCCGUGCGCUCACCCGCUCACCCAGCGACUCUGACAGGUAGACUAUGGUGAUACUAGACAAUAUUAAGUGCCAUUAUAUAUAUUCUGUAAUAUAAUUAUCACAAUUGCUGGUGAGACUCUUUUUUCCUUUCAAAUAUAAUCACACCUCAAGACACACUGGUACUUCUUAACUGUUACUAUUCUGUAGAUGUUCUGAUUCAAGUAUUAUCAGUUCACCAUACCCAGUUGUGCUCUAUAUCUGGUUGUUACGCGUACUUUAUAAUUAAGGGGGAUCUGAGGCCCCGUUCAGAGGAGAGACACGGACGGGUGCACUGUACUCAGGAUGGCGACCAUGAUGGAGCCAGACACUCGCACCCUGACCACAGCAAAAACAUCCACAUGAAACUACCUGAGUGAGACCAGCACUCCGAGGAGCGUCUCGCCAAGAGACACAAAGCAUCCAAGACAAAGAAGAAUGUCAAGGACAUGUAACGUGACCACUGAGACCAGGAUACAUCUGAGAGGAACUCCAGCAGCAGCCUCGAGGGAUUCAACAAGACGAAGCGAUACGACAUGAACUCCCCAUGCGGAAGCCACUCCAGCCUGAGCGAUAAGGAGCACCAUGGCAGCGACUACAACGAAGAAAACUGCAAGCACUGGCACCAUGAGAGAGAGCAACCAGCACUGAGAACAGCCAAUACAGCCACAGCGGACCACAGCUCCACAUCCACGCAGGACGUGGACUUUCUUCAAAAGAAGUGAAUUUCAGACUGGAAAGUGAUGCUUUAAUCAUAUAAAUCAAAGAAGAAGGCUUAACAUCUUAGCUGCUGUUUAUACACUCGGUACUUUGUCAUUUUUUAUUGUGUACUCUUAAUAAAUUGGACCCUGUAUUCAUUUUCUAAAA